rnacentral:rRNA from 1 species
UACAGAGACUGCAAGCGUUAUUCGGAUUCACUGGGCGUAAAGGGUGCGCAGGCGGCCAAGUGUGUCAGAUGUGAAAUCCCGAGGCUCAACCUCGGAACUGCGUCUGAAACUACUUGGCUAGAGUAUUGGAGAGGGUAACGGAAUUCACGGUGUAGCAGUGAAAUGCGUAGAUAUCGUGAGGAACACCAGAGGCGAAGGCGGUUACCUGGACAAUUACUGACGCUCAGGCACGAAAGCGUGGGGAGCGAUCCGG